rnacentral:rRNA from 1 species
GAUGAACGCUGGCGGCGUGCCUAAUACAUGCAAGUCGAGCGAACGGACGAGAAGCUUGCUUCUCUGAUGUUAGCGGCGGACGGGUGAGUAACACGUGGAUAACCUACCUAUAAGACUGGGAUAACUUCGGGAAACCGGAGCUAAUACCGGAUAAUAUUUUGAACCGCAUGGUUCAAAAGUGAAAGACGGUCUUGCUGUCACUUAUAGAUGGAUCAGCGCUGCAUUAGCUAGUUGGUAAGGUAACGGCUUACCAAGGCAACGAUGCAUAGCCGACCUGAGAGGGUGAUCGGCCACACUGGAACUGAGACACGGUCCAGACUCCUACGGGAGGCAGAAGUAGGGAAUCUUCCGCAAUGGGCGAAAGCCUGACGGAGCAACGCCGCGUGAGUGAUGAAGGUCUUCGGAUCGUAAAACUCUGUUAUUAGGGAAGAACAUAUGUGUAAGUAACUGUGCACAUCUUGACGGUACCUAAUCAGAAAGCCACGGCUAACUACGUG